rnacentral:rRNA from 1 species
GACAGAGGUGCCAAGCGUUAGGCGGAAUCACUGGGCUUAAAGCGUGUGUAGGCGGAAUGGUAAGUACCUUGUGAAAUCCCACGGCUCAACCGUGGAACUGCUUGGUAUACUGCUUUUCUUGAGCCACUUAGGGGCAACCGGAACAAACGGUGGAGCGGUGAAAUGCGUAGAUAUGCGGAGGAACACCGAUGGCGAAGGCAAUCCCCUGGGCCUGCACUGACGCUCAUGCACGAAAGCGUGGGGAGCAAACAGG